CAGCCGCCGCGGGAAUACAGAGGGUGCAAGCGUUAAUCGGAAUUACUGGGCGUAAAGCGCGCGUAGGUGGUUUGUUAAGUUGGAUGUGAAAUCCCCGGGCUCAACCUGGGAACUGCAUUCAAAACUGACUGACUAGAGUAUGGUAGAGGGUGGUGGAAUUUCCUGUGUAGCGGUGAAAUGCGUAGAUAUAGGAAGGAACACCAGUGGCGAAGGCGACCACCUGGACUAAUACUGACACUGAGGUGCGAAAGCGUGGGGAGCAAACAGGAUUAGAUACCCCCGUAGUCCUGUCUCUUAUACC
rnacentral:rRNA from 1 species